GUUCCUUCAAGCUCUGCUUGGUGUUGGGUGUUUGUCCUCUCCAUUGCGGUUGGACUCGCCUUAAAGCGAUUGGCAGCCAGUGUAUUGGUUUUAAGCGCAGCACAUUUUGCGUCUUGCUCCCUUUAUCACUUGCGUCCAUUAAGCCUUUUAUCAC
rnacentral:misc_RNA from 1 species